GGAGGGGGGAUUUGGAUACGGAGGGCUUCUUCAUCAACACCAUGACCUCUCUGAUGAUGCGUGAGUAGUUCACCAUAGACCUACGGGUCCAUAGCUAGUAACUAGAUGGCUUCUUUUCUCUCUUGGAUCUUCAACACAAAGUUCUCCAUGAUCUUCAUAGACAUCUAUCCGAUGUAAUCUUCUUUUGCGGUGUGUUUGUCGAGAUCCGAUGAAUUGUGGAUUUAUGACCAGAUUAUCUAUGAAUCUUAUUUGAGUUUCUUC
rnacentral:lncRNA from 1 species